rnacentral:rRNA from 1 species
AUAGUCGAUCGGAUAGUGGAAGUCUCUGGAAAUAGACGCCAUAGAGGGUGAUAGCCCCUUACACGAAAUCUGAACGGUGGUACUAAGCAUACGACAAGUAGGGCGGGACACGAGAAAUCCUGUCUGAACAUGGGGGGACCAUCCUCCAAGGCUAAAUACUCGUAAUCGACCGAUAGUGAACCAGUACCGUGAGGGAAAGGCGAAAAGAACCCCGGGAGGGGAGUGAAAUAGAUCCUGAAACCGUGUGCAUACAAACAGUAGGAGCGGACUUGUUCCGUGACUGCGUACCUUUUGUAUAAUGGGUCAGCGACUUACAUUCAGUGGCAAGGUUAACCGUAUAGGGGAGCCGUAGAGAAAUCGAGUCCGAAUAGGGCGACAGUCGCUGGGUGUAGACCCGAAACCAAGUGAUCUACCCAUGGCCAGGAUGAAGGUGCGGUAACACGCCCUGGAGGUCCGAACCCACUAAUGUUGAAAAAUUAGGGGAUGAGCUGUGGGUAGGGGUGAAAGGCUAAACAAACUUGGAAAUAGCUGGUUCUCUCCGAAAACUAUUUAGGUAGUGCCUCAAGUAUCACCAUCGGGGGUAGAGCACUGUUAUGGCUAGGGGGUCAUUGCGACUUACCAAACCAUUGCAAACUCCGAAUACCGAUGAGUGCGAGCUUGGGAGACAGACAUCGGGUGCUAACGUCCGGUGUCAAGAGGGAAACAACCCAGACCGCCAGCUAAGGUCCCAAAGAUUGGCUAAGUGGAAAACGAAGUGGGAAGGCUAAAACAGUCAGGAUGUUGGCUUAGAAGCAGCCAUCAUUUAAAGAAAGCGUAAUAGCUCACUGAUCGAGUCGUCCUGCGCGGAAGAUGUAACGGGGCUAAGCCAGUCACCGAAGCUGCGGAUAU